ensembl:lncRNA
AAACUGUUAGGCGUUUUCUUAAAAAGUUAAACAAACAUCUACCAUACAACCCAGCCAUUGCAUUCCUAGACAUUUGUUUAAUUGAAAGUGUAUACCCGCACAAAGACUUGUACAUGAGUAUUCGCAGUAGCUAUAUUUGUGCAGGUAUGGAAACUGCCACCCCUAGCAGCAUCUAUACAAUAAAAUCUAUAGAAAUAGAAAAGAACAAAUUAUUGUUAAACAUCAUGGAUGGAUCUCAAAAUAAUUAAGCUGAAUGAAAGAAGACAGAAAAAGAUACAUAUUAUAUAAUUCUAAUUACAUACAACUCUAGAAAAUGCAAACUGAUCUUUAGUGACAGAAAGCAGAUCAGAGGUUACCUGGGAAUGGAAGAGAGCGGGAGAAGAGAUGGAUUACAAAGAGAUAUGAGGAAAGUUGGGGGAAGGGGUGAUGAAUAUAUUGCUUGUCUGAAGUGCAGAGGUGUUUUCAUGCGUGUAAACAUAGGUGAAAAUUCAUCAAUUUGUACCGGUUAUUAUACGUCAGCUGUACCUCAAAAGAAUCAGUAGAGAGAGAAUGCCAAGAAGAUGCAAUAGUAGGAAGUAGAAGAAAAUGAAAGCAAAAUCCAGCAAGGUAAGUAACCUAAAAGUAAAUGCAAUGUAACAGCUAAGAACCUAAACCAUAGAUUCAAAUCUCCGCUCAGCUUUAGGAAGGCACUUAGCUGCCUCUGUAAAAUGCAGACAAUGACAGUAUCCACCUCAUAGGGUAGCUGGGAUGAUUAAAUGAGUCAUGCACAUAAAGCCCUAGAUCAGUGCCUGGCACUUAGUAAGGAUUCAAUAAAUAUUAGCUAUUAUUAUUGCACAAAUCAUCUCAUUUCAUCCAAAGUCAACCCUUUCCCAAUACGGAAAAACUUAAGCCCCAUCCAGCUGAUGAAUCCAGAGGUGAAACCACGGGCCGGUAAUUUCCAAACUCAGGUUUUCUGGUGACUACCAAUUCCUCCUCUUAAACAUAGCUUGCUGCAGCUCCUUGAGAUUUUAAGAGCUAAAUAGUGUACUUGACUGCCCAAUACACUCAUUCUGCAAAGGUCAGGGAGUAAAGGAUAACAAGACCCCCUUAGUGAGAAUGAGGGGAAGCAGCAAGACACUGAGUCACCAGGGUAGAGCGUCAUCUGGAUUCUGUUGGGCCACUCACUGUCAUGUAUGUCUGUUUCUUUCUUGACCCAUCAUUCUAGCUGCCCUGGGUUCUAUCCAUUGGGCGGGCUUCCUCUGGCCAGCGUUAAUCAGUGCCAAAACUGAGAGGAGAAUUGAGGAGGGUCCCAUUAUUGGGCACUGAACCACAUUCAUAGCUCAUUUCUGUUUGGAUCAUGAAUGUGAGCUAAGGGGUGCUUUCAAGGUUGAACGAGCACCGGUCUCUGUUUACUAGGCUCGAGUAUUUCUUACUCUACAACUCUUUCAAGUUCUUUCUUAGCUGGGCCCAUUGAUUGGGUGGGGUUAGGGGAGGACACGUGGGAGACUCACUUUGCUGGUAGCCAACACCAGAAAUCUUCCCCAAAUUUCAUUUUUGAAUUUGAACCUCACUCUUACAGCAUGUUUCUUUUUUUAAAGAUUGACACCUGAGCUAACAACUGUUACCAAUCUUCUUUUUUUUUCUUUCUGCUUUUUCUCCCCAAAGCCCCCCAGUUUAUAGUUGUAUAUUUUAGUUGUGGGUCCUUCUAGCUGUAGUAUGUGGGACACCGCCUCAACGUGGCCUGAUGAGUGGUGCCAUAUCCGUGCCCAGGAUCCGAACCAGAGAAACCCCGGCCGGGGUUUCUCUGAGCGCGUGAACUUAACCGCUCGGCCACGGGGCCAGCCCUGAGCAUAAGUUUCUUAAUAUCAAACUUGAGGGCUCUGCAUAUCUCCCUAAAUCUUAGCUUAUUGGCCUCUGCCUCUGCAUUUGAAGAACAGGCUGGAGUAGUGAGACAAGGCUCGUCUUUCCUCCCAUGUGGCUCCUAUCUGCAUUUGACUCCCCAGCCAAAUGUGCAUUUACAGCUUUCCCGGAUGGGGAUCACAGCAGAGUUAGUCAGCAGCAAUCUGAGGGCAUCGGUCUUCCUGGAUUCUUCUGAAUCCUCCCAGGUACCCAGUAUCCUAAUUGGUACACCAAUUUUAAGGCCAUAUCCUUAAGGUAACUGAUUAUCUGAUUCCAUGGGUUCAAAUUUCUAAGUAGGUAGAAAGAAAUUCUUUUACCAGAGCUGUAAAUCUGCCCAGCUGUUCUCUAUUUGCUAUCAGAUGGGCCCAAAUGGUAACUCAAUAGAAGUUGCCAGAUGUAGCAAUAUUUUGGCAUUUUCCUCCAGGUCACCUAAAGCUCCUAUUUUGUGGGCAAUGCUCUGAGUUCUAGCAGACAAUUAACAAUCUUUAACCAACUGAUUUCCUACCACCUAACAAGGAUUGCUCAUAUCCAGCCUUAUAAGGCAGAGUCCUCCUGACUUCCUGCGCAUCCUGACUCAGCUGUUUACAUCUGGGGACCUGUCCGUUAUAACAUUCGACUCCCAGUACUUAUUUCUGCAUUAGUCAGAAUUCUUUUGGUUGGAAGUGACAAAAAUCCAUCUCAAAUAAGCUUAGGCAAAGGUUAGCUUAUUGGAAAGACAUAGGAGAUGCUCAUAAGGGGAGAGUGUAAGACUGGUGAGGGCCGUGGCUGAGCCAGCUUUGUUCACCACUCCAGGCCCAAUGCCUGGGACCGAGCCUGCUGAAUGUUAAACAGAUAAAAGACCAAACUGCGGCAAGGGCGGGGUGGCUCUUGGCCUUGAUAACAGCUGAAACCAGCACGGAAUGCCUCAGCGAGAGAGCAGAGGUGGGGCUUUAUAACAGAUGACUUUGGGUCGUGUCCUCAGUCGGUCCGUUGCUGGACUUCCCUGCUGCACCACCUGCAUGGAUGGGGUCCUUCCCGGGAAGCCAAGUUCAUACUCUGUGGUCCUUCUUCCUUGCCGGAGUUGAUUUUGCAGCAUUGGGCACAAGAUGGGAGUGUGACCAAUCACAUCUGCUCUCCAAGAAAUUUUAACUGAGCCUGAGAUUCAGUCUGUUUGCUGGGGGUUGAAUUGGUUACAUAUGAAUGUAGAUACUGAUGGAGGAUGUUUUUCAGAGAGAGAGACAGGGGGAGAGAGAGAGAAGAAAACCAGGAAGAGGAAGAGGAGAAGGAGAAAGAGGAAGAGAAGGAGGAGGAGGGGAAAGGCGGGGAGGAAGAGGAGAGGAGAGGAGGGAAGAGAGGGGAAAGCAAGGGGAGGAAAGGAAAUGGAAGAAGGAAGCACAGAGAAGAGCACGUAUUAGUAGAGAGAAACAGUUUCAACUGCUUUUGCGGUCCUGAUUUCAGACCUGCCAGGCUCAGCUGAAUCCCCAUACUUGGGUUCCAUGAGAUACCCCCUUAUUCCUACAGCAAUUUCCCCUCAUUCAUAUGAGCUAGCUCAAGUUCUUUUCUGAUACUUUCAACUAACAGAUACCUCCCGCCAAUAAAAAUAUGGACACUGAGAAUUCCAGAAGUAAACAGAUUUGCCCAUCCAUCAGAGCAUAGACAAUAAACGCCACGGUCUUUACUACUCCCUCACUCCCGAGAAGUACAGCGCACCAGACAGAAAUGCUUUUGGCUGCAGAUAACAGAAUGCCAGCUAAUAAAAACUUCAGAAACAGAAGCGUUCAGUUACUGAACUUAACUAGGAGCGGGAAGGCAGGCAACUCCCAGGUUUGUUGCGAGUGCCAACAGUGUCACCAAGCACCCAGCCAUCCUCAGCUUACUGGUUUUCGAGCUUCGUGAGUGUGGUCAUAGAAGGCUGCCACAGCUCUGGGCAUCCCGAGCAAAUGCCAGUGGCGAGCCCGAGGGCACUCUGCUUGCCCCCUGCAGCUCAGCCCGGCUUCAUACAGAUCCUCUGGCUUGUCUGCUGGCCGCUGUGUUGCGAUGACAGAGAAGAGCCCAGGGUGCCGGACAAAGUCUGGGGCUGGAGGCCGAUCCCUCGUCGUUCCUGCCCACGGUCUCACUGAGCGAGAGUCACGGAGGCUCUCUGCACCUCCAUUUCCUCAUGGGGACCUGGAGUUUUAGAGCAUUCACAUGGCAUGUCCGAACGUAACCAUGGAUAUGAAGGUGUGAAAUCACAGUUGGAACUCAGGAGACUCUCUCUACGAUAUCACACUGCCUUUGAAAUCACUCAAAAUUGUCUUUUAAAGGAAAUCCUGCCAUUUGUGUCAACAUGAUGGACCCUAAGGACAUUAUGGCUGGAAAUCUGAUGAGACAGUAGCCCAGCCUCAACCAGAGGUGAAGUGGACACUCUAGGGAUGGUGCAGAAACAAGCUGGAAGCAAGCUGGGGUGGCUGGUGGAGCAGAGCACCCCCACCCCACCCCGCACUAACCAGAGUGUCAGGAAAGAGAGAAAGAAAGCUGACUGACGUGGAGAAACUGAGGCUGAGAGAGAUUAAGCUUCUUGCCUACGGUACCACAGUAAAUAGAGAUCAGCGAUGACACCCCUCCUGUGGUCUUCAUCCUGUGCCCUCAGGAUUCACCUUCUGUCCUCCAUGCCUCAGAAGCACGCUUCUCACACUCGUGUUCACAGCAGCACUGUUCCCGAUGCCAAGAAGUGGAAGCACCCAAAUGUCUACCGACGGAUGAAUGGAUAAGAAGCGUUUGGUAUACACAUACCACGGGAUAUUAUUGAGGCUUGAAGGAAAGGAAAGAAAUUCUGACACGUGCUACAACAUAGAUGAACCUUGAGGACAUUAUGCUAAUGAAAUAAGCCAGUCACAAAGGGAGAAAUACUGUAUCAUCCCACUUACAUGAAAUUUCUAGAGUAGUCAAAUUCCUAGAAACAAAGCGGAAAGGUGGUUACGAGGGCCCGGGGGGAGUGGAAAAUACAGGGGCCUUAUUUAAUGAAGACAAAGUUUCAGUUUUGCAAGAUGAAAGAUUCUUG